CAAGCUGGCGGCGUGCCUAAUACAUGCAAGUCGAGCGGACAGAUGGGAGCUUGCUCCCUGAUGUCAGCGGCGGACGGGUGAGUAACACGUGGGUAACCUGCCUGUAAGACUGGGAUAACUCCGGGAACCGGGGCUAAUACCGGAUGCUUGAUUGAACCGCAUGGUUCAAUUAUAAAAGGUGGCUUUUAGCUACCACUUACAGAUGGACCCGCGGCGCAUUAGCUAGUUGGUGAGGUAACGGCUCACCAAGGCAACGAUGCGUAGCCGACCUGAGAGGGUGAUCGGCCACACUGGGACUGAGACACGGCCCAGACUCCUACGGGAGGCAGCAGUAGGGAAUCUUCCGCAAUGGACGAAAGUCUGACGGAGCAACGCCGCGUGAGUGAUGAAGGUUUUCGGAUCGUAAAACUCUGUUGUUAGGGAAGAACAAGUACCGUUCGAAUAGGGCGGUACCUUGACGGUACCUAACCAGAAAGCCACGGUUAACUACUUGCCAGCAGCCGCGGUAAUACGUAGGUGGCAAGCGUUGGUCCGGAAUUAUUGGGCGUAAAGCGCCCACAGGCGGUUUUCUUAAAUCUGAUGUAAAACCCCCCAAUCUCUUCCGGGGGGGGGUGUAUUGUAAAACUGGGGGUAUUUUUAGUUGUAUGUAAUGGGUAUAUUGGUGAUAUUCCCCUCUUUUGUUGGGUGUAAGAUAGAGCUCUGUAUACAGAAGGUUGGAGUGCGUACUCUCACGGCUCUUGUCCUGAGGAGCUUAAUUCCUUCUGUGACAGUUGAUCUGUUGUCUAGCAUUAGCAUGCUGUCAUGUGUUAGUGUUGUGGUCUGUGUAUGUAUGGCUAGAUGCUAUAUACUCAUGUGAGUAAUCGGUGUCUGAUUAUGAUGAUGUAUUUACUCUUACACUCCUCUCUCCGUCAUCUACUAUAUUAUAUAUGUUUU
rnacentral:rRNA from 1 species